rnacentral:tRNA from 1 species
CAUUAGAUGACUGAAAGCAAGUACUGGUCUCUUAAACCAUUUUAUAGUAAAUUAGCAAUUACUUCUA